rnacentral:rRNA from 1 species
UGGGUAGCUGUAAGUAAGCGUUGAUCCAGAGAUUUCCGAAUGGGGGAACCCAACAUGAGUUAUGUCAUGUUAUCGACAUGUGAAUUCAUAGCAUGUCAGAAGGCAGACACGGAGAACUGAAACAUCUUAGUACCCGGAGGAAGAGAAAGAAAAAUCGAUUCCCUGAGUAGCGGCGAGCGAAACGGGAAGAGCCCAAACCAACAAGCUUGAUCGUUGGGGUUGUAGGACAAUCUAUA